rnacentral:rRNA from 1 species
CCUACGGGAGGCAGCAGUGAGGAAUAUUGGUCAAUGGUCGGGAGACUGAACCAGCCAAGCCGCGUGAGGGAUGAAGGUACAGAGUAUCGUAAACCUCUUUUGUCAGGGAACAAAGGCGGGGACGUGUCCCCGGAUGAGUGUACCUGAAGAAAAAGCAUCGGCUAACUCCGUUCCAGCAGCCGCGGUAAUACGGAGGAUGCGAGCGUUAUCCGGAUUUAUUGGGUUUAAAGGGUGCGCAGGCGGUCUGUUAAGUCAGCGGUAAAAGCCCGGGGCACAACCCCGCCCCGCCGUUGAAACUGGCAGUCUCGAGUUGGAGAGAAGUAUGCGGAAUGCGCGGUGUAGCGGUGAAAUGCAUAGAUAUCGCGCAGAACUCCGAUGGCGAAGGCAGCAUGCCGGCUCCACACUGACGCUGAGGCACGAAAGCGUGGGUAUCGAACAGGAUUAGAUACCCUAGUAGUC